AACGAACGCUGGCGGCAUGCCUAACACAUGCAAGUCGAACGAGACCUUCGGGUCUAGUGGCGCACGGGUGCGUAACGCGUGGGAACCUGCCCUUAGGUUCGGAAUAACUCCCCGAAAGGGGUGCUAAUACCGGAUAAUGUCUUCGGACCAAAGAUUUAUCGCCUUUGGAUGGGCCCGCGUUGGAUUAGCUGGUUGGUAGGGUAAAAGCCUACCAAGGCGACGAUCCAUAGCUGGUCUGAGAGGAUGAUCAGCCACACUGGGACUGAGACACGGCCCAGACUCCUACGGGAGGCAGCAGUGGGGAAUAUUGGACAAUGGGCGAAAGCCUGAUCCAGCACUGCCGCGUGAGUGAUGAAGGCCUUAGGGUUGUAAAGCUCUUUUAACCGGGAUGAUAAUGACAGUACCGGGAGAAUAAGCUCCGGCUAACUCCGUG
rnacentral:rRNA from 1 species